rnacentral:rRNA from 1 species
CCUUACGGCCAUACCACCCUGAGAACGCCCGAUCUCGUCUGAUCUCGGAAGCUAAGCAGGGUCGGGCCUGGUUAGUACUUGGAUGGGAGACCGCCUGGGAAUACCAGGUGCUGUAAGCU